GUCCUAUUGAUAAUAAUUUUAGGUCUAACCUGCUCGCUGAGUAGUUGAAGAGCCGCGGUAUUUUGACCGUGCAAAGGUAGCAUAAUAAUUAGUUUUUUAAUUGAAAGCUGGAAUGAAUGGUUGAAUAAGAAAAUAACUGUCUCUGUUAAAUUUUUUAGAAUUUUAUCUUUAAGUAAAAAAGCUUAAAUUUAGCUAAAAGACGAGAAGACCCUAUAGAGUUUGAUAAUUUUAUGUUUUUGGCUUUUUAGGAUUUUUUGAGUAAUAGACUAUAAUUUAUUUGGUUGGGGUGACUGAAAAAUUAGAAUAACUUUUUCUUUAUUUUUACAUUAAUUUAUGAAGAAUUUGAUCCAAAUUUUUUUGAUUAUAAGAGUAAAUUACCUUAGGGAUAACAGCGUAAUUCUUUUUGAGAGUUCAAAUCGAAAAUGGAGUUUGCGA
rnacentral:rRNA from 1 species